GACGAACGCUGGCGGCGUGCUUAACACAUGCAAGUCGAACGGUAAGGCCCUUCGGGGUACACGAGUGGCGAACGGGUGAGUAACACGUGGGUGAUCUGCCCUGCACUUCGGGAUAAGCCUGGGAAACUGGGUCUAAUACCGGAUAGGACUCCGGACUGCAUGGUCGGGGGUGGAAAGCUUUUGCGGUGUGGGAUGGGCCCGCGGCCUAUCAGCUUGUUGGUGGGGUGAUGGCCUACCAAGGCGACGACGGGUAGCCGGCCUGAGAGGGUGACCGGCCACACUGGGACUGAGAUACGGCCCAGACUCCUACGGGGGGCAGCAGUGGGGAAUAUUGCACAAUGGGCGCAAGCCUGAUGCAGCGACGCCGCGUGAGGGAUGACGGCCUUCGGGUUGUAAACCUCUUUCAGCAUCGACGAAGCGAAAGUGACGGUAGGUGCAGAAGAAGGACCGGCCAACUACGUGCCAGCCGCCGCAGUAA
rnacentral:rRNA from 1 species